rnacentral:rRNA from 1 species
CAGCGCCGCAAGUGGUAAUCACGUUUAUUGGGCCUAAAGCGUCCGUAGCCGGUUUGAUAAAUCUUUUGUGAAAUUGUUAGGCUCAACUUAACAACGUGCAGAAGACACUAUCAGGCUAGGAACCGGGAAGAGUCAGAAGUAUUAUUGGGGUAGCGGUAAAAUGCUAUAAUCCUUUUAAGACUACCGAUGGCGAAGGCAUCUGACUAGAACGGCUUCGACGGUGAGGGACGAAAGCCAGGGGAGCAAACCGGAUUAGAUACCCGAGUAGUCC